UACGGAGGGUGCAAGCGUUAUCCGGAUUCACUGGGUUUAAAGGGUGCGUAGGAGGGCAGGGAAGUCCGUGGUGAAAUCCUAGAGCUUAACUCUAGAACUGCCCGUGGAUACUCUCUGUCUUGAAUCCCGUGGAGAUGAGCGGAAUAUGUCAUGUAGCGGUGAAAAUGCUUAGAUAUGACAUAGAACACCAAUUGCGAAGGCAGCUCGUUACACGAAGAUUGACUCUGAGGCACGAAAGCGUGGGGAUCAAACAGG
rnacentral:rRNA from 1 species